GAUGAACGCUGGCGGCAUGCCUAAUACAUGCAAGUCGAGCGAACAGACGAGGAGCUUUCUCCACGGAUGUUAGCGGCGGACGUGUGAGUAACAAAUGGAUAACCUACCUAUAGGACUGGGAUAGAUUCGGUAAACCAUAGCUAAUACCGGAUAAUAUAUUAAACCGCAGGGUUUAAUAGUGAAAGACGGUUUUGCUGUCACUUAUAGAUGGAUCCGCGCCGCAUUAGCUAGUUGGUAAGGUAACGGCUUACCAAGGCAACGAUGCGUAGCAGACCUGAGAGGGUGAUCAGCCACACUGGAACUGAGACACGGCCCAGACUCCUACGGGAGGCAGCAGUAGGGAAUUUUCCACAAUGGGCGAAAGCCUGACCGAGCAACGCCGCGUGCGUGAUGAAGGUCUUCGGAUCGUAAACUGCUGUUAUUCGGGAAGAAAAAAUGCUUAAGUAACUAUGCACGUCUUGACGGUACCGAAUCAGAAAGCCACGGCUAACUACGUG
rnacentral:rRNA from 1 species